rnacentral:lncRNA from 1 species
AGAUAAUCAUAAAUACAGGUUUUAGCAUUAUCGUUUCUAGGAAUAGAAAAUGUCCAAUAGCUAAUCACAUUCUGUUGCAAAAAAGAGGACGCAGUCCCUUUCUAAAAAAGCAAGAAACAGCUCCUCCUUUUCUCCCCCCCCCUCCCAAAAAAAGGAAAAAAAUUCAGGCAUUGAUGCUGACUAAUUUAAUAUGCUGAGAAUGAAGAGUGGCAGUUUUGCUUGUUCCCUUUUUGCUUGUUCCCUUCACUACUUACUCAUUUUGGUUUGAAGUACAGAGCAAAGGAUGCGUGAACGGUGUUGGAGCUGUGUUCCUGCCUGCAUACUGUGGCAGUGAGUAAUGCAGAGAACUUUAUACUGCGCAACAUCUUGUGACACAGAAGAUAACUGUGAUCUGUCUAUUUCCUUUCUAGAUGGCACCAAGCCCUCCCAUAUGUGCUGUGAAAAUGAUGAGAAUGACUUCAGAGGCUGUGUGUGCUGGCUGAUGAGAGAAGCUAAAAAGAGGAACCUCGAAAUUAAACUGAUGGAUAUGGGAUGAAAGGGCAUUUCAUAGGAAAUUGAUCAAGGUGUGGGACUGGCUGCUGGAAGAGGGAUGAUCACUCAGUUUGCUUUGUAUCUUUACCCAGAAAUUUUUCCUAUCUGAUGGCUCUGCUCCCUGAUUCCCUGAGACUCAGCAUGUCUUGGAGUAAGUUGAUAGGACUGUUGUGCUGUGUGUGUUAUUCCAUGGCUGGCUUAGCCCUGCUCACUGACCUGCUCUUUCUCUCUCUUUUCACCACCCUCUGCCCACUCCCUCAGUGCAGCUUUUGCUCCCGGAAGAACAGAGUGAAGUGAUGAGGAAUGGCUGUGAAUUCAAGGAACUUGUCUACCUUGUUCAGAUCUUGCCAGGUAAAUACCAUGUUUUCUUCCCCAACAUCAUUUCGCAGCCCAUGUCACACUAUGUUUAGUAACAGAGCCUCAUAAAACUUUGAUGUGACAAUUCUCUGUGUCAUAUGUGGGAUUUUUCCUCUUCCCCUCCAGCUGAGGCCCCAGAACGAUGCUGUCUGUGGUGUUGUGACCAGCUAGUCUUAAGGAAACAAAUCCUUUAGGCAAAUAAUCCUGGCCCCAGUUUGUGCAGAGCCGCACAACAUGACCCAGGGACACACAAGUAUGCAUGUAUGUGCCU